GUGAGUAAUGUCUGGGAAACUGCCUGAUGGAGGGGGAUAACUACUGGAAACGGUAGCUAAUACCGCAUAACGUCUUCUGACCUAAGUGGGGGACCUUCGGGCCUCACGCCAUCAGAUGUGCCCAUAUGGGAUUAGCUAGUAGGUGGGGUAAUGGCUCACCUAGGCGACGAUCCCUAGCUGGUCUGAGAGGAUGACCAGUCACACUGGAACUGAGACACGGUCCAGACUCCUACGGGAGGCAGCAGUGGGGAAUAUUGCACAAUGGGCGCAAGCCUGAUGCAGCCAUGCCGCGUGUGUGAAGAAGGCCUUCGGGUUGUAAAGCACUUUCAGCGAGGAGGAAGGGUGGUGUGUUAAUAGCGCAUCACAUUGACGUUACUCGCAGAAGAAGCACCGGCUAACUCCUUGCCAGCAGCCGCGGUAAUACGGAGGGUGCAAGCGUUAAUCGGAAUUACUUGGGC
rnacentral:rRNA from 1 species